rnacentral:rRNA from 1 species
UAGGGAAUCUUCGGCAAUGGACGGAAGUCUGACCGAGCAACGCCGCGUGAGUGAAGAAGGUUUUCGGAUCGUAAAGCUCUGUUGUUAGAGAAGAACGUUGGUAGGAGUGGAAAAUCUACCAAGUGACGGUAACUAACCAGAAAGGGACGGCUAACUACGUGCCAGCAGCCGCGGUAAUACGUAGGUCCCGAGCGUUGUCCGGAUUUAUUGGGCGUAAAGCGAGCGCAGGCGGUUCUUUAAGUCUGAAGUUAAAGGCCGUGGCUUAACCAUUAUACGCUUUUGAAACUGGAGGACUUGAAUGCAGAAGGGGAGAGUGGAAUUCCAUGUGUAGCGGUGAAAUGCGUAGAUAUAUGGAGGGAAACCGGUGGCGAAAGCGGCUCUCUGGUCUGUAACUGACGCUGAGGCUCGAAAACGUGGGGAGCAAACAGG